rnacentral:lncRNA from 13 species
UGCCACAAGGUAAAUCAGGAAUUUCUUAUUGGUUUGGAUCCAUUGCUGGAAACGAUCUUCCCCUCCUUCCUCUUUCCUGGUGGACUUGAAGCUGUGAGGAGGUAAGUUUGCUGCUAUCAUAUCCUUUGCAUGUCCAAGUCAAAGUUUACCUCAAGUUGGGUCAAUCCCUGAUGUUUUAAAUAUAUAAAGGCAAGAAAAGAGAAUUAACUGCAAUAACUGGGAAAAAUCCUUCAAUGACUUCCUCUCUAAUUCAGAAUAAAAGCCAGAACUCAUAUUAAAUCCUAUAAGCC